rnacentral:lncRNA from 1 species
CUGAUUUGUGAUGGCAGCAUCUUACCUGCUGUUUUCUCUUGCCCAGGCAUCAGCCCCACUGAUAACCUGAGCCAUACAAAGAUUCUCAGCCUUGGCCAGGAACAAAGGAGCAGCGACAAGGCUUUUCCCCACAAUCCUCUGGUGCUGCCUCCCAGCUUGCUGAGCCUGACGAGUGUGCUGACACUUACUGGAGCUGAGUGCUCUCUUUUUCCUGCCGUGCGGGUCUGGCUACGUGGAGGAAGCAGGGGCUUAUUAAUGAGCUGCGAGCUGCCCCUUGACGAGAGUCCACUGCGGAAUCCACCACGGCGG